rnacentral:lncRNA from 1 species
AGACUGUCCUUGAAGCCCCUCCCCAGGUGUGUCCCAGGCAUAGAAUAAAAUGAGUGUUGCCUCCAGACUUCAAAGGUGGGGCAUCUUCAGCAUCUUCACCCUGUGUCUAGUUGGGCAAAAGUAUCCCGCCUGCUGCAGACAUUUUCUGAACAUCAUAGCUGAUGGACAUCAAUGACCCCACCCAACAGCAAGAAGCCAUGAUACUUACUGCAUUGAUGGUUCCCUUUGCCACGAAAGACACCAUCAUGCCUGUUAGAAUGCCAGGCCUUCUUUUGAGCAUCUUUUCACUUUGUCUCCCUGUAGUGUCGGCUUCAGGAGCUCUCCUUGAUAGCUUCAGGAGUCACAGAGUCUGCUCCAACCAACAUUGGUGUAACAUACAGUAUCACUUGUUUUUCAAAACCUUCAUCCCCCUCUCCUCCCUGUGGAUCAGACAAAACCUCCUGCUUGCUCAAUCGGCACGGCGGGGCAAGCCCUUGGUGGUGGCUUCUCUGAUGCUCCUGAUCCAUUAGAGGUGGGAAGUUCCUCUGCACUGGCACACCUUCCCUCUCUGUCCUUCUCAGUUCCUAGGAUGGGGGGCUGUGGCUUCCCAGGAUGAUAUUCAGUGUGGAAUUUCUAGGCAUCCACCUCCGGGAUGCGGCAGAAGAGGAGAAAGCAGGUGCUCACCACGGAUGUAACCACCACCCUCAUCGUCUUGGGGAGUCCAGCUAUUCCCAGAAUUGGGCUGUUCCUCUGUCUCUCAAAUUUCAGAGCACCUACCUUCUCAGAAAAUUCAGGUUUUGCAUUGCUAAAAGUGGAUAUUGGAAAGCCAAGUGUUCUUAAGAAAGAAGAGGAAGCUUAGCCCUGCAAACUCAUGUCUUACUCUUGAGCCUUUAGUGGAGGAAACAUUGCAUGAUUAAAAUUUUCCUAUUAAGUUGAAACCCAACACUAGGAGAUCAAUAAAUCAUCAUACUUCAUUUGUUCACGCAAAAAUCUCCUUUUCUAAACUUUGUCUUUUUCACUGUAUGGGUCAUACACUUAGUGGGGUGCCA